rnacentral:rRNA from 1 species
GACAGAGGAUGCAAGCGUUAUCCGGAAUGAUUGGGCGUAAAGCGUCUGUAGGUGGUUUGACAAGUCUUCUGUCAAAGAUCAGGGCUUAACCCUGGGCAGGCAGGAGAAACUAUUAGGCUAGAGUUCGGUAGGGGCAGAGGGAAUUCCGGGUGGAGUGGUGAAAUGCGUAGAGAUCCGGAGGAACACCAGAGGCGAAGGCGGCCUACUGGGCCAGUACUGACGCUGAGCCGCGAAAGCCAGGGGAGCGAACGGG